rnacentral:rRNA from 1 species
GGUGAACGCUGGCGGCGUGCCUAAGACAUGCAAGUCGAGCGGGGCAGGUUUAUACCUGUUCAGCGGCGGACGGGUGAGUAACGCGUGGGUGACCUACCCGGAAGAGGCGGACAACCUGGGGAAACCCAGGCUAAUCCGCCAUGUGGUCCUGUCCUGUGGGGCAGGACUAAAGGGUGGAUAGCCCGCUUCCGGAUGGGCCCGCGUCCCAUCAGCUAGUUGGUGGGGUAAAGGCCCACCAAGGCGACGACGGGUAGCCGGUCUGAGAGGAUGGCCGGCCACAGGGGCACUGAGACACGGGCCCCACUCCGACGGGAGGCAGCAGUUAGGGAUCUUCCGCAAUGGACGGAAGUCUGACGGAGCGACGCCGCUUGGAGGAGGAAGCCCUUCGGGGUGUAAACUCCUGAACUGGGGACGAAAGCCCUGUGUAGGGGGAUGACGGUACCCAGGUAAUAGCGCCGGCCAACUCCGUG